GAUAAGGUGGCUGAAGUUUAGGCUAUAAAUUGUAAAUUUAUAUAUGGUUAUGACCCCUUAUU
rnacentral:tRNA from 1 species